rnacentral:rRNA from 1 species
AUACGGAGGGUGCAAGCGUUAUUCGGAAUCACUGGGCGUAAAGGGUGCGUAGGCGGUUUGAUAAGUCUGAUGUGAAAUCCUAUGGCUCAACCAUAGAGCUGCAUUGGAAACUGUCAGACUAGAAUACUGAAGGGGCAGAUGGAAUUAGUGGUGUAGGGGUAAAAUCCGUAGAUAUCACUAGGAAUACCGAAAGCGAAAGCGAUCUGCUGGGAAGUUAUUGACGCUGAGGCACGAAAGCGUGGGGAGCAAACGGGAUUAGAAACCCGAGUAGUCC